GAUGAACGCUAGCGGCAGGCUUAAUACAUGCAAGUCGAGGGGCAGCAUGACUGUAGCAAUACAGUUGAUGGCGACCGGCAAACGGGUGCGGAACACGUACAGAACCUUCCUUCGAGCGGGGAAUAGCCCAGAGAAAUUUGGAUUAAUACCCCAUAGUAUAGCGGAGUGGCAUCACUCUGUUAUUAAAGAUUUAUCACUUGAAGAUGGCUGUGCGGCUGAUUAGGUAGUUGGCGGGGUAACGGCCCACCAAGCCUGCAAUCAGUAACUGGUGUGGGAGCACGACCAGUCACACGGGCACUGAGACACGGGCCCGACUCCUACGGGAGGCAGCAGUAAGGAAUAUUGGUCAAUGGACGAAAGUCUGAACCAGCCAUGCCGCGUGGAGGAUGAAGGUCCUCUGGAUUGUAAACUUCUUUUAUAUGGGACGAAAAAAGGCUUUUCUAAGUCGUCUGACGGUACCAUAUGAAUAAGCACCGGCUAACUCCGUGCCAGCCGCCGCCGUAACAC
rnacentral:rRNA from 1 species